rnacentral:lncRNA from 1 species
CCAGGUUCUUAGAGCAAGUUUUAUUGGAAGUGAUGAUUUGACAUCAUGACCAAGCACUCAGGCACCAGAGAAUGAUACAUUCUUGAAAAGUGACUCAUUUGAGAUUUUAAAUAAAACAGCCUUUCUUUCCCAUUUCACUCCUGUGCUGCCAGCCAUCUUCUCCUUUUGCAAGCAGGAGAUGCAUGAGAAGGCAAGUGUUUCUGGGAUAAUGGGAUAGAGAGAGAUUAGUGCAAAGGUCAGGGCAAUUCAAGGCUUUCUUAUUACUGGGUACGGUGACCAAUGAGGGCCACUGUAGCUUUUUUGAGAUAAAAGGGGCAGGGUAGUUUGGCAUUCAGACGAAGAAAACCCCUCCUUGG